rnacentral:rRNA from 1 species
GUCGAGCGCACCCUUCGGGGCGAGCGGCGGACGGGUUAGUAACGCGUGGGAACAUACCCUUUUCUAUGGAAUAGCCUUUGGAAACGAAGAGUAAUACCAUAUACGCCCUUCGGGGGAAAGAUUUAUCGGAGAAGGAUUGGCCCGCGUAAGAUUAGAUAGUUGGUGGGGUAAUGGCCUACCAAGUCUACGAUCUUUAGCUGGUUUUAGAGGAUGAUCAGCAACACUGGGACUGAGACACGGCCCAGACUCCUACGGGAGGCAGCAGUGGGGAAUCUUAGACAAUGGGCGCAAGCCUGAUCUAGCCAUGCCGCGUGUGUGAUGAAGGCCUUAGGGUCGUAAAGCACUUUCGCCAGAGAUGAUAAUGACAGUAUCUGGUAAAGAAACCCCGGCUAACUCCGUGCCAGCAGCCGCGGUAAUACGGAGGGGGUUAGCGUUGUUCGGAAUUACUGGGCGUAAAGCGCACGUAGGCGGAUCAGAAAGUAUAGGGUGAAAUCCCAGGGCUCAACCCUGGAACUGCCUUGUAAACUCCUGAUCUUGAGUUCGAGAGAGGUAAGUGGAAUUCCGAGUGUAGAGGUGAAAUUCGUAGAUAUUCGGAGGAACACCAGUGGCGAAGGCGGCU